rnacentral:rRNA from 1 species
AUUGAACGCUGGCGGCAUGCUUUACACAUGCAAGUCGAACGGCAGCAUGGGUGCUUGCACCUGAUGGCGAGUGGCGAACGGGUGAGUAAUGUAUCGGAACAUGUCCGGAAGUGGGGGAUAACGUAGCGACAGUUACGCUAAUACCGCAUAUGCCCUGAGGGGGAAAGGAGGGGAUCGCAAGACCUUUCGCUUUCGGAGUGGCCGAUAUCCGAUUAGCUUGUUGGUGAGGUAAAGGCUCGCCAAGGCGACGAUCUGUAGCGGGUCUGAGAGGACGACCAGCCACACUGGGACUGAGACACGGCCCAGACUCCUACGGGAGGCAGCAGUGGGGAAUUUUGGACAAUGGGGGCAACCCUGAUCCAGCAAUGCCGCGUGCAGGAAGAAGGCCUUCGGGUUGUAAACUGCUUUUGUACGGAACGAAACGGUCUGGGUUAAUACCCUGGGCUAAUGACGGUACCGUAAGAAUAAGCACCGGCUAACUCUGUGCCAGCAGCCGCGGUAAUAC